GACGAACGCUGGCGGCGUGCUUAACACAUGCAAGUCGAACGAUGAAGCCGGAGCUUGCUCUGGUGAAUUAGUGGCGAACGGGUGAGUAACACGUGAGUAACCUGCCCUUGACUCUGGGAUAACUGCUAGAAAUGGUAGCUAAUACCGGAUACGACCCUCGGAGGCAUAUUCAGGGGGUGGAAAGAAUUUCGGUCAAGGAUGGACUUGCGGCCUAUCAGCUAGUUGGUGAGGUAAUGGCUCACCAAGGCGACGACGGGUAGCCGGCCUGAGAGGGUGACCGGCCACACUGGGACUGAGACACGGCCCAGACUCCUACGGGAGGCAGCAGUGGGGAAUAUUGCACAAUGGGCGCAAGCCUGAUGCAGCGACGCCGCGUGAGGGAUGACGGCCUUCGGGUUGUAAACCUCUUUUAGUAGGGAAGAAGCGAAAGUGACGGUACCUGCAGAAAAAGCACCGGCUAACUACGUGCCAGCCGCCGCCGUAA
rnacentral:rRNA from 1 species